rnacentral:rRNA from 1 species
UACGUAGGUGGCAAGCGUUGUCCGGAUUUAUUGGGCGUAAAGAGCUCGUAGGCGGCUUGUCGCGUCGACUGUGAAAACUCGGGGCUCAACUCCGAGCUUGCAGUCGAUACGGGCAGGCUAGAGUUCGGUAGGGGAGACUGGAAUUCCUGGUGUAGCGGUGAAAUGCGCAGAUAUCAGGAGGAACACCGAUGGCGAAGGCAGGUCUCUGGGCCGAUACUGACGCUGAGGAGCGAAAGCGUGGGGAGCGAACAGG